rnacentral:snoRNA from 1 species
ACAAUGUGAUGAUUUUCAAAUCAACACCAUCUUUCGACUGAUCAAACAGUGCUGCAUUCUUAUUAUCUGAUGUU